AAGUCGUAAGGUUUCCGUAGGUGAACCUGCGGAAGGAUCAUUAACACGUAUCCAGUAGUUCGCAAUCUCUGGUAAAUCACAGCCCGGAAAGUAGUUUUGAUUCAGAGACCUCCUACGUGAGAACAUUGGAACAGUUACAAUCGAGCGGGUUUCAUAGGCAUUGUUUCCCCAAGCAGUUGGUGUCUCAAAGUGUCACUGAUUGUGCAAGGGUAGCGCUUCAACGAUUCCUGUAGACCGUACACUCGGGCAGGAGCUAUGCCAAAGGGUCCCCAUGCCCCUUAUAACCCCACAGUUUAAUGUGAAGCUCAAUGUAAUACAUUGGGUAAAAAAACCGAACAACUGUUAACAAUGGAUAUCUUGAUUCUC
rnacentral:misc_RNA from 1 species